UACAGAGGUCUCAAGCGUUGUUCGGAUUCAUUGGGCGUAAAGGGUGCGUAGGCGGCGCGGUAAGUCGGGUGUGAAAUCUCGGAGCUUAACUCCGAAACUGCAUUCGAUACUGCCGUGCUUGAGGACUGGAGAGGAGACUGGAAUUUACGGUGUAGCGGUGAAAUGCGCAGAUAUCAGGAGGAACACCAAUGGCGAAGGCAGCUCGCUGGGACGGUACUGACGCUGAGGCGCGAAAGCGUGGGGAGCAAACAGG
rnacentral:rRNA from 1 species